AGAGUUUGAUCCUGGCUCAGGAUAAACGUUGGCGGUGUGCUUUAUGCAUGCAAGUCGUACGAGGCUAUAGUUUUCGGAUUAUAGUUUAGUGGCAAAUGGCUGAGUAAUACAUAGGUAACCUGCCUGUGAGUGGUGGAUAACUUGCUGAAAGGCAAGCUAAUACAGCAUGUGGUGAACAAGGAUUUUCUUGUUUAUCAAAGCCUUCGGGCGCUCGCAGAGGGGCCUUCCUGAUUAGCUAGUUGGUGAGGUAACGGCUCACCAAGGCUUUGAUCAGUAGCUGGUCUGAGAGGAUGGUCAGCCAGAUGGGGACUGAGAUACGGCCCCAACUCCUACGGGAGGCAGCAGCAAGGAAUAUUGGGCAAUGGGCGAAAGCCUGACCCAGCGACACCGCGUGAGGGAUUAAGGCCUUCGGGUUGUAAACCUCUUUUCUCGAGGAAGAAGCUCUGACGGUACUCGAGGAAUAAGCCACGGCUAACUACGUGCCAGCAGCCGCGGUAAUACGUAGGUGGCAAACGUUGUCCGGAUUUAUUGGGCGUAAAGAGAGUGUAGGCGGCUUAUUAAGUCAAGUGUUAAAUCUUCUGACUCAAUCAGGAGCUGCAUUUGAUACUGGUAGGCUUGAGUGCAGCAGAGGAAAACGGAAUUCCCAGUGUAGCGGUGAAAUGCGUUGAUAUUGGGAAGAACACCAGAGGCGAAGGCGGUUUUCCAGGCUGUGUCUGAGGCUGAGACUCGAAAGCGUGGGGAGCGAAGCGGAUUAGAUACCCGCGUAGUCCACGCCUUAAACGGUGGACAUUAGGUAUGGGAAGUAUCGACCCUUUCUGUGCCGUAGCUAACGCUUUAAAUGUCCCGCCUGGGGAGUACGGUCGCAAGGCUAAAACUCAAAGGAAUUGACGGGGGUCCGCACAAGCAGCGGAGCGUGUGGUUUAAUUCGAUGAUACACGAAGAACCUUACCAGGGUUUGACAUGUCAGAAGUAGGAAACCGAAAGGUUUACGACCUGUAUCCAAUCAGGAACUGUCACAGGUGCUGCAUGGCUGUCGUCAGCUCGUGCCGUGAGGUGUUGGGUUAAGUCCCGCAACGAGCGCAACCCUUGUUCUAUGUUAAUUUCUCAUAGAAGACUGCCUUGUACAGCAAGGAGGAAGAGGAGGAUGACGUCAAGUCAGCAUGGCCUUUAUGCCCUGGGCUACACACACGCUACAAUGGGUAAUACAGAGGGUUGCCAAAGAGCGAUCUGGAGCUAAUCCCUUAAAAUUAUCCUCAGUUCAGAUUGUAGGCUGAAACCGCCUGCAUGAAGUCGGAGUUGCUAGUAAUCGCAGGUCAGCUAUACUGCGGUGAAUACGUUCUCGGACCUUGUACACACCGCCCGUCACGUCGUGGAAGUUGGAAACACCUGAAGUCAAUGUGUUAACUUGCUUAGGUAAGAAAUAGUUGUUGAAGGUGGAGCUGAUAACUGUGGCGAAGUCGUAACAAGGCA
rnacentral:rRNA from 1 species